GCUGGCGGCAGGCCUAACACAUGCAAGUCGAACGAAGAGGCCCCUUCGGGGGUACUUCAGUGGCGCACGGGUGAGUAACGCGUGGGAACCUGCCCUUCGGUACGGAAUAACUACAGGAAACUGUGGCUAAUACCGUAUACGCCCUAUGGGGGAAAGAUUCAUCGCCGAAGGAUGGUCCCGCGCCCGAUUAGCUUGUUGGUGAGGUAACGGCUCACCAAGGCGACGAUCGGUAGCUGGUCUGAGAGGAUGAUCAGCCACACUGGAACUGAGACACGGUCCAGACUCCUGCGGGAGGCAGCAGUGGGGAAUAUUGGACAAUGGGCGCAAGCCUGAUCCAGCCAUGCCGCGUGAGUGAAGAAGGCUCUAGGGUUGUAAAGCUCUUUCAGCAGGGAAGAUGAUGACGGUACCUGCAGAAGAAGCCCCGGCUAACUCCGUGCCAGCAGCCGCGGUAAUACGGAGGGGGCUAGCGUUGUUCGGAAUUACUGGGCGUAAAGGGCAUGUAGGCGGAUCGGCCAGUCAGAGGUGAAAGCCCUGGGCUCAACCCAGGAAUUGCCUUUGAUACUGCCGAUCUAGAGUCCGGGAGAGGAUAGUGGAAUUCCCAGUGUAGAGGUGAAAUUCGUAGAUAUUGGGAAGAACACCAUUGGCGAA
rnacentral:rRNA from 1 species